CCUCAUUUUACAGAAAAAGAAAUUCUGACUCAGAGAGAACUCUGAUCUUAAAAAUCAAGGUAGAGUAAGGAGAAGAAAACCAAGAAUGUGUGACCCUUCUUCCUUUCAACAUUCCCUCCCAACCCCACCACCAAAAUAAGCAAAGCCCUCAAACUAAUUUUGGAACUACUUGCUCGCAAACUUGAAGAGUCUCUGUGAAAAGAACGUCCUUCAGAUUCUGGCAUCAGCAGAUGCAAAGGCCAUGAAGCAAGAUACCUAGUUUAUUUAAAGGCUCAGCAAGGGGACCAGGGUGGCUACAGGACAAACCCUGAAAAGAAUGGAAGAUGGAGUCAAGAGAGGUCACACUGGGGUCCGAACUACAGCCUUGCAGGCCACAAGAACUUGAACUUCUUUCUACCUUGAAUGCAGUAUAAAUCUACUGGAUAGCUUUGAAUAAAAAUGUGAUGUUAUAUGACUUGAAAUAUUUUAAAAGGCUCAUUCCAGGGGCUGUGAGGAAAACAGAUGUAGUUAUGCUUAGAGGAGGCAACUGCAAUAAUUCUAGUGAAAAACAAUAGUGCCCAGAAUAAGGGAGAAAUGAAAAAGGUGAUAUUGGGUAUAUACUGAAGGCUGAGCCAACAGAAAUCUUGAGGAUUCUGCUAGAUGCUUAUGGAAUAAAGGUAAUAAUAAUAAUAAUAAGAAGAAGAAGUAGAAAAGAGAAUAAUAAGAAAAGCCAACCCAUAAAUAAGCCACCACAAAUAUUUUUAAAUUGUCAGAUCCUUAAAUAGCUGCUUCUUUAAUGAUCAAGUGACAAAGCUAAUAAAACUUUUUCCAUACUGUAAAUAAGACCAUGAAAAUAUCACUGAAUAUAAUCAUUCUAUGAACACUUUAUAAUAAGAUAUGAAAUCUUCAAGAACAGUGUCUUUAAAAUUAUUCCAAACAAGAAGAAAAAUAUAUUAAAUAUACCAAUUAAUCAAUAUUCUAUGCUAUGUUCUAUGAAACCACAUAAUGCUAGGUUAAUAUAGGGUCAAUUUUCCUCUUACAGCGGAAAAUUUAACAUUAAAGCUACUCAAGAUAAAAGCAUUCCUGGGCUGAGCAUAGUGGCUCACGCCUACCUGUAAUCCCAGUACUUUGGGAGGCCUAGGCAGGGGGAUCCCUUGAAAACAGGA